UACCGUAUUUAUCAUCAUUAUAUUGUGUCUAGGGUUACUCAAUUUAUCGUGUACUUUUGUAUUGGGAAUGGCCAACAAUUAAACAACAAGAAAGGGUGGAAGAUUACAUUCAAGAAUUUGAAGUGGGAAACAAUAAUAGGGGUGAAUUUUUUUAUGCCAUAGAUGUGCUGCCUAGUAAUAAUAUGCAACAUGAUGGUUUAUGAAACAUGGAUAUUCUUUAUAUCCAGAAAGAUAUUGGCAUUCUUGACGAGGGCGGGUUUGAUGUCUUGGAGCCAACGGUGGGUGGAAAUGCACAGAGACUUUUACUUGAGAGUUUGGCAAUAGUAACAUGGAUGGGGAGUGGGGAAAAAUUCAUCCAAGAAUGCAAGAUAUUGCUGUCACAAGAAAACAAAACACCAGAAGAUCAAUGGUAGGGAUAUUUAUUUGGAGGGCUGCAAUCUAACAUUCACAAUUGGUUGUCACAACAAGAUCUAAAGGACUUAAUUAGAGAUAUGCAAAUUGUUCUAGUUGUGGAAGAAAGGCCAACAAUGAAGAAUCACACCCUCUGUAAGGAAGAAAAAACCAAAACAGAAGGGAGGUUUGUAACAAAAAAAUAUAGUAUUAUGGAGGAGGAAGGCGAUGCAACAAUAAUGAGAGUUGAAGGUGGAGAUGUAGUCAAGCAACAAUUUUUCCCAAAAUCAGAUUUACUAAUAGGAGUAUGAAUUCAUGGUUGAACUUAGAUGUGAUAAUGAUUGGAACAUCAAUGACAUUGUAAGUUUGGGAUUCCACAUUACUGGGUCAAAAUCUGGUAUACAAAAACGACUAUCAUAUGAACCACCACCCAAGCCUUCAGAUAUGAAAUUGAAGGCAGUAGCUAGUGGGUUCCCUUCCGAUGAUAAGACAAUAUCACAAUGUCAUGAGAUCAAGCUUCACUAUUCCAUCCUUGAGGACAAAGUUGUUCUGUAGUGACGUGUAAUGAUAUGAUAUAAUGUGUAUGAUAAGAGGAAACAAAUUAAGGAAUAACUGUUAGGGUGAGUGAGGUUUCCGUUAUAUAGUUAGGGGGUCCUGAUAUGCAAGGCACUUCUAGAUAAUUUUGUAGAUUGAGUUUUAGCUCUCUGUGAAGGGGAAACCCUUGGAGGAGAGAAUGCUCUCCUAUUUUGGAGUUUUUUAAGUCUAUACAAUAAAGAAUAUUACUCUUGUAUCUCUCUUCAAUUUUGGGUUCGUAACACAACCUAUUCCAAGGUGUUGUUAGUAGGAUAUUAAAUGUUCUACUAGAAGUUGUUAAAAGCUAUUAAAAUGUUCCAAAGAUCUUUUUAGUAAUGAUUACUUUAGGGUAAGAGUUCUCUGUCCAUAGAUGUUGAUGUACUAGAUGAAUCAAUUUGAAUAUAUAUCUUCUUUCUUUCAGGUAAUCCUUUCAUGUUGGUUUCGGUUCUUUAUAGGGUUGCCUGAAGUGCACCCAACUUAGGGUUCUGUUUGUUGCUGCACCCAGAGCCGCUACCACACCUUUAUUGGAGCCCGGAGCCGCCACCACACCUUUGUUGGAGCCACGGCUAGAUCUACGCUAGACCUUCCCAAAGCUUUCACCAAACCCUUGCCAUAAUUGUUUUUAUACCCUAGCCGGAGCUGUCAUUGGAGCUCUGCCAAACCUUUCGCCAGAGCUUUUGCAAAAGCUUCUGCCAUUUCCAUUGUCAGACUUAUUGUUGUCAUCACCAUAGCCAUCGUCAGGGCUUUUGUGUCUUAUUGUUUUGUUUUAAUUAAGCAUGAAGACUCCACUACAAUGUUGAUCUUUUAACUUUAGAGGUACAUGCACACAUGCACUACGUGCUGAAAUUGAACGUUUGAAAUCUCUCGUGGAGUCUAUCAAUAAGUCACCUUCUGGUACGUGCUUGGUAGCCGUGAUUGGGAAAAUUUUGGAGAUACAAUUUGGAGCAUUGGGAAGGAGACAAAAUAAAUUCAAGACUCUCAUAAUUGACAUUUUAAAUUUUAGUUAUCUUGUAAUUUAAUUGUUUAAAAUUUUUAGACAAACUUUUGCACAUUGGGCCAUUGUUGGCAAAUUUAUGAUGGACCUAAAGAGUAGGACACUUGACCUAGGGUUUUCUUUUAUUUUUAGGGUGGCGCGACACUUGAGCCGUCACUUUUUGGCAUUACUUGGCUUAGAACAUUUUUGUUUUUCACGGUUUUUUUCUGGAAAUAUGUUCAUGCUACUGGACUUUGGUUGAUUGGAAGGUUGCUCACGGUUUUUCAUGUUGGUUGAAUGAAUCAAGUUUUUUUCUUUUUCCCUUCCA